rnacentral:lncRNA from 1 species
AGGGGCGACAUGGGACGGAUCACAGAAGAUCUCAUUAGACGGAAUGCCGAGCACAAUGACUGUGUAAUUUUUUCCCUGGAGGAACUCUCCCUGCAUCAGCAAGAAAUAGAAAGACUAGAGCAUAUUGACAAGUGGUGCCGGGAUUUAAAAAUCCUCUAUCUUCAAAAUAACCUCAUCGGAAAAAUUGAAAAUGUUAGCAAACUCAAGAAACUUGAAUAUUUGAAUUUAGCUUUAAACAACAUUGAAAAAAUUGAAAACCUGGAAGGCUGUGAAGGGCUGACAAAGCUAGACUUGACGGUGAAUUUCAUCGGAGAGCUGAGCAGUGUUAAAACCCUUCGAGGCAACAUCCACCUGAAGGAGCUCUUCCUCAUGGGAAACCCCUGUGCUGACUUUGACGGCUACAGACAGUUCGUGGUGGCAACUCUUCAGCAGCUAAAGUGGUUGGAUGGUAAAGAAAUCGAGCGUUCAGAAAGGAUUCAGGCAUCACAGAACUUCCCAGUAAUUGAACAACAAAUCAGAGAGCAGGAGAAAGCUUACUGUCUUAAGCGAGCCAAGGACAAGGAAGAGGCUCAGAGGAAACUGAAGGAGGAGGAAAGCAAAGGCGAGACUGGGAGAAUUCACACAGGCUCUGACGGACACUGGCACGUGGACAUCAGUGCUCCCCUUCCAUCUUCUGAAGAGAGUAAAGACUACAUCCAGGCACCAGAAAUACAAGAAAGGCAAUGUAAGGGGAAGGAAUUAGAUGACAGAGAAGACGACCUGGAAUUCUGGAAUAAGCCCUGUUUGUACACUCCUGAAUCUAGAUUGGAAACUCUGAGACAUAUGGAAAAACAGCGGAGAGACCAAGAAAGAUUAAGUGAAAAGAAGAAGAAAGUGAAGCCACCCAGGAUGUUGGUCACCGAGGACGGGAGGGCCCUGAACGUGAAUGAACCCAAACUUGACUUCACUUUGAAAGAUGAUGAAAAGCGUAACCAGAUCGUCCUGGACUUGGCCGUGUAUAGGUAUAUGGACACCUCUUUAAUCGAUGUUGAUGUACAGCCAACUUACGUGCGAGUGAUGGUCAAGGGAAAGGUAAGCGUGACCCUAUGUAUCAGAAAGAAUGUAUCACAGACUGUGCUGUGCUUUUCUUUUCAGGUGGGCGAAGUAAUCAUAGGCUGUCAACGAACAUCAAAGCCCGUGAAAAGCACGCCGGACAGCAGCAGAGAGCAGACAAGCAAGAGAAGCCAGCAAAUGGAGAAACUAGAAGUAGACCCCAGCAAGCGUUCCAUCCCUGAUGUGGCCAACAUAGUUCAGGAGAAAACACACAUGCCCAGAAGAGUUCGCCCUGAACCCAAAAUUAUACCAAGUGAGGAAGAUCCCGACUUUGAAGAUAAUCCCGAAGUGCCUCCUUUGAUUUGA